rnacentral:rRNA from 2 species
ACGGGAGGCAGCAGUGAGGAAUAUUGGUCAAUGGACGGAAGUCUGAACCAGCCAUGUCGCGUGAAGGAAGACGGUACUACGUAUUGUAAACUUCUUUUAUCUGGGGGUAAAGUGGUCCACGUGUGGGCUAUUGCAAGUACCAGAUGAAUAAGCAUCGGCUAACUCCGUGCCAGCAGCCGCGGUAAUACGGAGGAUGCAAGCGUUAUCCGGAUUUAUUGGGUUUAAAGGGUGCGUAGGCGGGCAAUCAAGUCAGCGGUGAAAUUCUGUGGCUCAACCAUAGGACUGCCGUUGAAACUGGCUGCCUUGAGUGCGGCAGAGGUAGGCGGAAUGUGUGGUGUAGCGGUGAAAUGCAUAGAUAUCACACAGAACACCGAUUGCGAAGGCAGCUUACUGGAGCGCAACUGACGCUGAGGCACGAAAGCGUGGGGAUCGAACAGGAUUAGAUACCCUGGUA